rnacentral:rRNA from 1 species
UUCUAUGGCCAUGCCACCCUGAACACGCCUGAUCCUGUCUGAUCUCAGAAGCUAAGCAGGGGCAGGCCUGGUUAGUACUUGGAUGGGAGACCACCUAGGAAGACUGGGUGCUGUAGGUG